AUUUGUUCUGGAUUAAUGGAAUAACCAAUCCCUUAGAGAGUCCAUCUCAGAACAAGUUAAAGGAGAUGCUGAGGACCAGAAAUCUGGCAUGCCUCUCAGAGAGUGAUCCCAUGGCUUGACUCUCCUAGGACGUGGGAACAAUCUAACCGCAAAGUGGAAAUUGUCUGCGAACAGGAUGGGGAAGUGGGAAACCAUCCCAGGAAGUCCCCACUAUGUCAUUUGCAUGUCAUUAAAGUCUUCUCAAGAU